CAGAGUUGAAAAACUCCCUAAACCCACUGUGAACCUACCUAUAUCGUUGCUUCGGCGGGCAGCCCCAGGGCGGGGCCCAGGCCAUUUACAGGUGCCCGCCGACGGCUAUUAUAAACUCUUCUAUUAUUUACAGGGCACUCUGAGUAAAGAUAAAAUCAGUCA
rnacentral:misc_RNA from 1 species